ACCAGAUCGAGUCCUCAUCUCAAAAUAAAUAAAAUAAAAUAAAAUAAAAUAAACCUCCCUUUCCUUUAGAUUCUUUUCCUCUCCCCACCUCCUCCGCUUUUACUUAGCUGUGUUUCUUUUCUCCCUGGAUACUAUCUUUAUGUUUUAUGUUUUGAUUGCAAGCUUUAUCAAUUAAACUUUUCACGAGUUUAGCAUAUCAGAUUCUUUUGAAUGCUUUAAAUUUUUAUAAAAGUAGACACAAUUAAAUCACCACAAAACUCCUCACUGCACUUGCAGCAAAACCAUUUACAAAAGUGCACAUACCAUGGUUUAAAUUUUUUUCUUUGUCUUCUUAUUUCCAUGACCGCCUAGAGAAUUUCUCAGUAUCACUCUCAUUUCUGUUACAUCCAAAACUUUGGCAUUUAUACAAUUCUUAUUGUAGAGUAGAAGUUUUAUUAACUUUAAAGAUUUUUGCUUUAAAUGCUGAAAUGAGGAGUCCUGUUUCAGUUAUUUUACAUAUAAAUUUUCUUUGCAAUUACAGGGAAAACCAAAGGCAUAUAUUUCCAGUGCCUGCCAUGAAAUCAGGUAUCUUCCUUGAGUUAAGGAAACGAUUGAGUUGAGGAUAAUGGUGUUUAAAAUGAUCUCAGUUCUGGAGGCCGGAAGUCCAAGAUCGAGGCACUGUAGGUUCGGUGUCUGGUGAGGACCCAUUUCUGCUUCCAAGACAGAACCCUGUUGCUGCGUCCUCCAGAGGGGCUAAGUGCUGUGUCCUCACAUGACAGGAGGUGGAAGGGCCUUUUGUAAGGUCCACUAGUCCCAUUCAUAAGGAUGGGGCCCUCAUGACUUAGUCACUUCUUAAUGCUGUCAUGCUGACGUUUGUGUUCCAGUGUAUGCGCUGUGGAAGGACACACACCAUGGCAUUCAGCGCCCUGGAUGUGGCAGGAGGCCAGAAUGCAGAGCCCUAGACUGUGCCGCAGAACUGUCCGGGAGCUGGGCUGCUCCCCCAUGUCCUCCCCGUGCUCUAGGGGCUGAGGGCAGACACAGUGGCAACGUGUCAGAGCCACUGGAAGCCUCUUUGCCGGCCUCCUGGUACGUUGGCCUAAUUGCCCCAGAGGGUACUGUCAUCUGGGACUUCAAUGAGUCACUGGCUUAAAAUAUUUUUCUAGAACUCCUGAGGAGUUGGCCUAAUUGAAACAGAGUGAUCUAUUUUCCAGGAUUCAAAUGAGUGUAUUAGGCUGGAGACUGCCAGAAACAAAAAAAAUACCUGGUGUUUAAAAGGAACCCACGGUCUCCACGAAAAGCUUCUGAGCAAAUCCCCACCAGGCAGGCCUGGGGCCUGUGCUUAGCGCAUCUCCUGAGAGAUCGCAGCCAUGACCUGUUACUGGGGACUUGGCAGAAGGGUGGGAGAGGGUGAGGGAUGAAGGACUACACAUCAGCUGCUGUGUACACUACUCCGGAGACAGGGGCACCCAGAUCGCAGAAAUCACCACUGAAGAACUUAUCCAUGGAACCAAACACCGCCUGUUCCCCCAAAACUAUUAAAAUAAAAAAAAAUACUCAGCUAAAAGUAAGGUUUAUUAGUUGAAAAAGGUAUAUCUUCUGGCCUUUCAAAACAUUGAUAUUCCAAAAUAAAACUCUCGCACAACUCUUAA